AACGCUAGCUACAGGCUUAACACAUGCAAGUCGAGGGGCAGCACUAGGUAGCAAUACUGAGGUGGCGACCGGCGCACGGGUGCGUAACGCGUAUCCAACCUUCCCGUUACUCAGGGAUAGCCUUCCGAAAGGGAGAUUAAUACCUGAUGGUAUUCAAAUUUCGCAUGUUAUUUGAAUUAAAGAUUUAUCGGUAACGGAUGGGGAUGCGUGACAUUAGGUAGAUGGCGGGGUAACGGCCCACCAUGCCUACGAUGUCUAGGGGUUCUGAGAGGAAGGUCCCCCACACUGGAACUGAGACACGGUCCAGACUCCUACGGGAGGCAGCAGUGAGGAAUAUUGGUCAAUGGUCGGAAGACUGAACCAGCCAAGUAGCGUGAAGGAUGAAGGUUCUAUGGAUUGUAAACUUCUUUUAUACGGGAAUAAAACCACCUACGUGUAGGUGCUUGUAUGUACCGUAUGAAUAAGCAUCGGCUAACUCCGUGCCAGCAGCCGCGGUAAUACGGAGGAUGCGAGCGUUAUCCGGAUUUAUUGGGUUUAAAGGGAGCGUAGACGGGAUGUUAAGUCAGUUGUGAAAGGCUGCGGCUCAACCGCAGCACUGCAGUUGAUACUGGCGUCCUUGAGUGCGGUUGAGGUGUAUGGAAUUCGUGGUGUAGCGGUGAAAUGCUUAGAUAUCACGAAGAACUCCGAUUG
rnacentral:rRNA from 1 species